CCCCAGACUGCUCCUGCCCAGGCCGGCAGGGCUGAGUCACAGGGGCCACGGAUUCGAGGGACCUCGGAAGGCAUGCAGGCAACCCCCUCCAGGAGCUUCUGGCUUUAUAAUUCCUUUUUUUCCAGACUUGGCUGCCAGAGAGCUCAGUGUUGAGUUUGGAGCAUCAGUUACAAUAACUAAUUCAUUCCAGAGGGUUUAUGAAGAUAAAAUGAGACACGGCAGUGUUCCCCAGAUGAGGGUCCAGAGACAGGUGCCACUCAUGAGGACAUAUUAACCAGCUUGCAGUGAGAUGAGGAAAGUGAGGACAUGGAGGGAGGCACUCACAGAGGCCCUGCUCACCAGGUCACAGCUGUCUGUGCCAAGUCUUAAGCCAUUAUGCUCAUUGCUCUUCUUUCUCCAUCUUCAAGGCCUUUCCAGACCUGCCUUUAUGGACCAUGAAGCUACUGACUUCUCCUGAUGUGGAUAAAGUGAAGGUUCCUAUGGCCAGGAUUCUAACCUGGCCCUGGGUGGCUCUCUGCACAUGU